AUUGAACGCUGGCGGCAGGCCUAACACAUGCAAGUCGAGCGAGCGGCGGACGGGUGAGUAAUGUAUGGGGACUGCCCGAUAGAGGGGGGUAACUACUGGAAACGGUAGCUAAUACCGCAUACUAUCGGAUAACCCAUAUGGGAUUAGCUAGUAUGUGUGGUAAGGGGUGACCUAGGCGACGAGCCCUUGCUGGUCUGAGAGGAUGAUCAGCCACACUGGGACGUAGACACGGCCCAGACUCCUCCGGAGGCAGCAGUGGGGAAUAUUGCACAAUGGGCGCAAGCCGGAUGCAGCCAUGCCGCGUGUAUGAAGAGGGCCCUAGGGUUGUAAAGUACUUGCAGUCGGGAGGCGUUACCGGCAGAAGAAGCGCCGGCUAACUCCGUGCCAGCAGCCGCGGUAAUAC
rnacentral:rRNA from 1 species